CAUAGGUUAAUGAGGCGAACCGGGGGAACUGAAACAUCUAAGUACCCCGAGGAAAAGAAAUCAACCGAGAUUCCCCCAGUAGCGGCGAGCGAACGGGGAGCAGCCCAGAGCCUGAAUCAGUGUGUGUGUUAGUGGAAGCGUCUGGAAAGGCGCGCGAUACAGGGUGACAGCCCCGUACACAAAAAUGCACAUGCUGUGAGCUCGAUGAGUAGGGCGGGACACGUGGUAUCCUGUCUGAAUAUGGGGGGACCAUCCUCCAAGGCUAAAUACUCCUGACUGACCGAUAGUGAACCAGUACCGUGAGGGAAAGGCGAAAAGAACCCCGGCGAGGGGAGUGAAAAAGAACCUGAAACCGUGUACGUACAAGCAGUGGGAGCCUCUUUAUGGGGUGACUGCGUACCUUUUGUAUAAUGGGUCAGCGACUUAUAUUCUGUAGCAAGGUUAACCGAAUAGGGGAGCCGAAGGGAAACCGAGUCUUAACUGGGCGUUAAGUUGCAGGGUAUAGACCCGAAACCCGGUGAUCUAGCCAUGGGCAGGUUGAAGGUUGGGUAACACUAACUGGAGGACCGAACCGACUAAUGUUGAAAA
rnacentral:rRNA from 1 species